rnacentral:rRNA from 1 species
AACGAACGCUGGCGGCAUGCCUAACACAUGCAAGUCGAACGAGACCUUCGGGUCUAGUGGCGCACGGGUGCGUAACGCGUGGGAACCUGCCUUUAGGUUCGGAAUAACUCAGAGAAAUUUGAGCUAAUACCGGAUAAUGUCUUCGGACCAAAGAUUUAUCGCCUUUAGAUGGGCCCGCGUUGGAUUAGCUAGUUGGUGGGGUAAAGGCCUACCAAGGCGACGAUCCAUAGCUGGUCUGAGAGGAUGAUCAGCCACACUGGGACUGAGACACGGCCCAGACUCCUACGGGAGGCAGCAGUGGGGGAAUAUUGGACAAUGGGCGAAAGCCUGAUCCAGCAAUGCCGCGUGAGUGAUGAAGGCCUUAGGGUUGUAAAGCUCUUUUACCCGUAGAUGAUAAUAGAC